GGUCAUAAUGUUAUGCCUGAUCGGUGUGUAUAUAUAACAUUUCAUCACCGCAACACUCAGUUAAAGACAUUUUCACUGUUUUUCCAGAAACAGUGUUUGCAGAAACGCCCAUCUACUGCCGACUCAGCUCUUCUCUGAUUGGCCUCUCGUUUCCAUGACACCACCGAGCUGUCGUGAACCGUUGGUGUUUACCCUCUUUUGCGGCGGUAGGCCGUCCCUUGCCGGUAAACGGGGCAGGACCGUGUGAAAGUGGCCCAGCGGCCGUUCGCAGCCCGCUGUAGCCCGGUCGGUUCAGCCGUCGCUCAAAAGUUACGAUCAGCCCGCCCUGCUGGCCCCCAUGGACCCCAACCGAAUCAUACAGGCCUUGAAAGGCACCAUAGACCCGAACCUGAGGAUAGCGGCGGAGAAUGAGCUCAACCAGUCCUACAAGAUUAUCAACUUUGCUCCGACUCUGCUGCAGAUCAUCGUGUCGGACCAGGUGGAGUUUCCUGUCCGGCAGGCAGCUGCCAUCUACCUGAAGAACAUGGUGAGUCAGUACUGGCAGGACCGGGAGCCCUCUUUGGGGGAGGUCGUCUUCCCCUUUAACAUCCAUGAGAAUGACCGCGGCCAGAUCCGAGAGAACAUGGUGGAGGCCAUUAUUCAGUGCCCUGAGUCCAUACGAGCCCAGUUGACUGUCUGCUUGCGUGCUAUCAUAAAGCAUGAUUUCCCCGGCCGCUGGACCGGCAUCGUAGAUAAGAUCAGCCUGUACCUGCAGUCGCAGAACAGUGGGAGCUGGUACGGUAGCCUCCUCGCACUCUAUCAGCUCGUCAAGACCUAUGAAUUCAGAAAGGCGGAGGAGAGGGCUCCUCUGCUGGCCGCUAUGCAGCUCUUCCUGCCCCGCAUCCAGCAGCUCAUCACCCAGCUGCUCCCCGAUGCCACGGUCUUCUCUGUACUCAUCCAGAAACAGAUCCUCAAGAUAUUCCACGCACUUGUGCAGUAUUCCCUGCCUCUUCAGCUGCUCAAUAACACAGUUAUGACCCAGUGGAUGGAGAUCCUGAGAGCAGUCGUGGAUCGGGAUGUCCCACCAGAGACUCUGGAGGUGGACGAAGACGAUCGACCAGAAUUAAUUUGGUGGAAGUGCAAGAAAUGGGCUCUACACAUUAUCACCAGGCUGUUUGAGAGGUAUGGAAGCCCAGGCAACGUAACAAAGGAAUACUUUGAGUUUGCGGAUUUUUUUCUGAAGACGUACGCUGUUGGAAUUCAGCAGGUCUUGUUAAAGGUGGUCGAGCUGCACAGACAGAAGCAGUACGUGAGUCCACGUGUACUACAGCAGACUCUGAACUACCUGACCCAGAGCGUCUCUCACUCCAUGACGUGGAAACAGAUGAAGCCGCACAUGCAGACCAUAACUCAGGAGGUGGUGUUUCCUCUGAUGUGCUAUAAGGAUGAGGAUGAAAAGCUGUGGCAGGAAGAUCCAUACGAGUACAUUCGCAUGAAAUUCAAUAUGUUUGAUGACCACGUGUUUCCCGCUACUGCGGCCCAGACUCUGCUGUGCAAAGCAUCCAGGAUGAGGAAGGAGGUCCUUCCUCAGAUGAUGGAGUUCUGCCAUCAGAUUUUGAUGGACCCCAACGCUGACCCCCGCAGGAAGGAUGGGGCACUUCAUGUCAUUGGUGCCUUAGCUGACCCGUUGCUAAAGAAGCGAGUAUACAGAGAUCAGAUGGAGCUGAUGUUACAGAAUUAUGUGUUUCCUCUGCUCAACUCGAACCUGGGUUACCUGCGGGCCAGGUCCUGCUGGGUUCUGCACUGUUUCAGCCCUCUGAAGUUCCACAAUGAGCUGGUCCUGAGGAACGCUGUGGAGCUGGUCAAACAAGACCUCAUCGCUGACCAGGAGAUGCCCGUCAAAGUGGAAGCAGCCAUUGCUCUGCAGACUCUGGUCAGCAACCAGGAGCAAGCUAAGAUCUACAUCAGGCCGUUCAUCAGGCCUGUGAUGCAGGAGCUGCUGCACGUCAUCAAGGAGACGGAGAACGAUGAUCUCACGAGCGUCAUUCAGAAGAUGAUUUGCGAAUACAACCAAGAAGUGGCAGUGAUAGCAGUGGACAUGACUCAGAACCUGGCAGAGAUCUUCAGCAAGGUUCUGCAGAGUGAGGAGUAUGAGGAGAGUGAAGAUAAGACGGUGAUGGCACUGGGUAUUCUCAGCACCAUAGACACCAUCCUCACCGUCAUGGAGGACCACAAAGAGAUAACUCAGCAGCUGGAGGGCAUCUGCCUGCAGGUGAUUGGUCUGGUGCUCCAGAAGCCCAUCAUAGGUAUGGCAGAGUUCUAUGAGGAGAUUCUGUCGCUGGCCUUUGGUCUCACCUGCCAGACCAUCUCCCCUCAGAUGUGGCAGCUGCUGGGGGUGCUUUAUGACGUCUUCCAGCACGACUGCUUCGACUACUUCACAGAUAUGAUGCCUCUCUUGCACAAUUACGUAACUGUGGACACGGACACACUACUCUCAAAUCCCAAACACUUGGAGGUCAUUUACACCAUGUGCAAAAAGGUCCUAACAAGCGAUGCAGGGGAGGAUGCAGAGUGCCAUGCUGCCAAACUCCUGGAGGUCAUCAUUUUACAGUGUCGUGGCCGGGGCAUUGACCAGUGUAUCCCACUGUUUGUGGAAGCGGUGUUGGAGCGGCUGACGCGGGGUGUAAAGUCGACGGAGCUACGCACCAUGUGUCUGCAGGUGGCUAUCGCUGCGCUGUACUACAACCCCUCACUGCUGAUGCACACACUUGAGAACAUCCGCUUCCCACACAGCCCCGAACCCAUCACCGCCCAGUUCAUCAACCAGUGGAUGAACGACACUGAGUUCUUCCUCGGGCUGCACGACCGUAAGAUGUGCAUCAUCGGCCUGAGUCUGCUCAUGGAGCUGUCUAGCAGGCCGGCCGUUUUGGAAGGAGUGGCCAGUCAGAUCAUCCCCUCCAUCCUGCUCCUUUUCUUGGGCCUCAAACACAUCUAUGCCUCCCGGGUCCUAAACAAGCCCGAGCCGCUCUCCAGGGUGCAGGGCACCGACGAGGAUGAGAACGAGGAGAUUCCAAGUGAUGAGGAUGAGGUGGGAGAGAAGAGUUCCAGCAUGCAGCCAGCCAGUGCUUCCAGUGGCAAUGACAACGAAGAUGAAGAUGAUGACGACGACGAUGAUGAUUACUGGGGGGACGAAGGUCUGGAGGGCACCGCCUUGGAGGAAUACAGCACACCACUGGACUACGAUAACGGAGAGGACGAGUAUCAGUUCUUUUCUGCUUCCCUGCUUCGAGUGCAGAGCUCAGAUGUGAGCUGGUAUCAGUCUCUGACACAGUGUCUGAGUGACGAUCAGAAGAAACAGCUGCAGGAGAUCUACAGCCUGGCCCAGCAGAGGAGGAGUGCAGCAGGCAAAGGCCUGUGAGAUCUGUACUGUUCCGUGUGGGAGGUGCAGUGGUAGGACGGAGAAAAGACUGUGGGUUUGGAUCUGCAACGGUUUCAACCCUGGAACUGAUCUCCACUUUACAUGGAUGCACCUGAGCAAGAACCUCCACUGGAGAGAGAGAGAGAGAGAGAAAGAGAGAGAAAGAGAGAGAGAAAGAGAAAGAGAGAGAGAGAGAAAGAGAGCCAUUUCAACCAAGACGAGAGGGGAUUUUGGGGAGGGAGGGGGGAACGAGCCAGGACCCGAAGCAGCCUGUCCGGAUCCAGAACCCUAGAAGGACCACUGAGACACUUAAUCGUCUGGAUAGAGAGGCCUUGUGCCAGUGAGGCUGAAGAGGUUGCUCUGGGUCUGCCACAGCCUGAAUGAGUCACAAAUGCAGUAUUGGCGUGUGAGUGAGAAACAGCCAUGCCUGUGUGUGUGUGUGAGUGUGUGUGUGUGUGUGUGUGUGUGAGUGUGUGUGUGUGUGUGUGUGUGUGUGUGUGUGUGUGUGUGUGUGUGUGCGCGCUUGCGUGCAAGUGUGUGUGAGCAACUAAAUCUCUUUCCAUAUUUAAGAAAAUGAGAAUGAUGAAGUGCUGCAGGGGGAAACAUGAAAAGACAAGCUCUCAUUGGACAUGAGUGAUGCAGAUUCAAAGAAAGGGUUUCACACUAGUUAAAUCCAUGUGCAUCCUAAAAAAUAUAAACAAUAACUAGACGUGUCACAGUCCUGAAAUUUUAGCUGACAAUUAGCAUAUCAGUAAUUAUUAUGAACAGUGUAGUCUCUCUUGGUUAACUGUACUGAAGUGCAAGCUUAAGGUGGCCAAAUGGGUUGAUAAGCUAUCUUGCUUUCCAGCUUUUGAUGCUUUCAGACAACCGAAACAGAUUGAGCUCAAAUAAACAAACAUCUCUCACUGUCGCCCUCUGCAGGUAUUACUAACAAACAUCAGAUAAACAAACAUUACUCACCACCGCCCUCUACAGGUGUUAUUAACAUCAGAUAAGCCAAUUUUAGUCACACCACCCUCUAAAUUUGUUAACAUCAAAUAAACGUUAAUACAUGCUUGUUAACAUUGCUAACCGCUGCCCUCUAAAGGUGUUAACAAAUAUCAAAUAAACAAACGUUACUCACCGCCGCCCUCUAAAGGUGCUAUUAACAAACAUCAAAUAAACAAACGUUACUCGUCGUCGCCCUCUAAAGAUAUUAUUAACAAACAAUAAAUAAUAAAUAUUACUCACUGCUGCCCUCUAAAGGCGUUAACAAACAUCAAAUGAGCAGACGUUACUCACUGCUGCCCUAUACAGCUGUUCUUAACAUCAAAUACACCAAUUUGUCACACCGACCUCUAAAUUUAACACCAAAUAAACAUGUUAAUCAACUCUUGUUAACAUAUAACAAAUAUUAAACACCGUCGCCCUGUAAAGACAUUAAUAACAAACAUUAAAUAAACAUUACUCACUGCUGCCCUCUAAAGCUGUCAUUAACAAACAUCAAAUAAAAUUUACUCACCACCGGCCUCUACAGGUGCUACUGACAUCAAAUAAACCAAAUUGUCACACUGCCCUCUAAAUUUGUUAACGUCGAAUAAAAAUGUUAAUAAACGCUUGUUAACAUUACUCACUGCUGCCCUCUAAAGCUGUUAUUAACAAACAUUUAAAUAACAAAUAUUAAACACGGUCGCCCUCUAAAAACAUUAAUAACAAACAUUAAAUAAAUAAACAUUACUCACUGCUGCCCUCUAAAGGCUAUAUUAACAAACAUCACAUAACAGACAUUAACGCAGCUGAUGACAACACACCUAAUUCACACCCAGUUUGAUGGAAUGUAAGCUUAUGAUUGUGAAAGCUUACAUUUGUCAGCUUAAACGAUGGCAGUUAUCUGAGAUGACAGCAGUCAGAUGGUUAUGUAGAAAUCGAGACAGGCCUGACCGUGACUAUUUUUGCUCGGGAAGUAUUUGUUUACAUUUUUGGUGAUGCACAUAAUUACUUCACCUUAGCGACUCCUGGUGUGAAAGCCUUUCUUAGCGUAUUGCUGAUCCUCCUCUCCACCUCUUGCUGGUAGUCUUGGUUCAGAGUAUGAAGAGAGGUGUGUAAAGCCCAGUGUACAAGAAAGACACAGACUGCUUCACGGGCGCAGAGACUAAGGAACAGACGCGGAUACACACAGGCCGGUGGGGUUGACCGAGGUGGUCUGGGCUUUCAGUGUUUCAUAGGUGUGUUCCUGUCUAGCUUGUGAUAUACACACUGGGAGGACUGUGCUCUAUAUUUGUUACAUGUUUGUAUGUUUUGAUUUUGUUUUUGUAAAAGUUUUGAGAAUUAACUUAAGUCAUAAAAAUUAGUCUAACACUACUUCUUGUCUCUCUUAGUCCUUUGUGUGUGACUGAUGCUCAUAAUAACCAGAACUCUUUUGAGUAGCACUGCGAUCCCACACAGCAUUGAUUCCAGGCAUUCAGGAAUCGAGAGUUGACUCAGGCUUUGGACUCGAUUCCAUACAGUGAUGUUUGUCUGCACUCGCAAACAUACCGAGUGAGAUAUUCUGCUGUCGCUGUCUAGACUUUCUGUAUGGAAAUGCAGCCUUUCACAAUGUGCACAUCAACAGUCCAGCUGUAUUUUACUUUAGACAAAGCAGAAAACUAAUGUAAAAAUACUAGAAAUAAUGAAAAAUUAGUUUAGAACCAAACAACACAGCCAGUGCCAAAACAUCGACCCAUUUGAAGGAGGCCAGAGAAUCAGCUUAGUAUAGGUGUAAUGAUUUCAAUACAUAUUGA